rnacentral:rRNA from 1 species
AUUGAACGCUGGCGGCAUGCCUUACACAUGCAAGUCGAACGGCAGCAUGGAAGAGCUUGCUCUUCUGACGGCGAGUGGCGAACGGGUGAGUAAAGCAUCGGAACGUACCGUGUAGAGGGGGAUAACGUAGCGAAAGUUACGCUAAGACCGCAGACGCACUGAGGUGGAAAGCAGGGGAUCGCAAGACCUUGCGCUAUACGAGCGGCCGAUGUCAGAUUAGCUAGUUGGUAGGGUAAAGGCCUACCAAGGCGACGAUCUGUAGCGGGUCUGAGAGGAUGAUCCGCCACACUGGGACUGAGACACGGCCCAGACUCCUACGGGAGGCAGCAGUGGGGAAUUUUGGACAAUGGGCGAAAGCCUGAUCCAGCCAUGCCGCGUGAGUGAAGAAGGCCUUCGGGUUGUAAAGCUCUUUCGGCUGGGAAGAAAUCGCACAGGCUAAUACUCUGUGUGGAUGACGGUACCAGCACAAGAAGCACCGGCUAACUACGUGCCAGCCGCCGCAGUAA